rnacentral:tRNA from 1 species
AGGUGCGUAGCUCAAUUGGUAGAGCAUCUGAUUCCAAAUCAGAGGGUUGGGGGUUCAAGUCCCUCCGUGCCUGCCA